rnacentral:rRNA from 1 species
UGAACGCUGGCGGCAGGCUUAACACAUGCAAGUCGAGCGGGGAAAGGUAGCUUGCUACCUGACCUAGCGGCGGACGGGUGAGUAAUACUUAGGAAUCUGCCUAUUAGUGGGGGACAACGUUUCGAAAGGGACGCUAAUACCGCAUACGCCCUACGGGGGAAAGCAGGGGAUCACUUGUGACCUUGCGCUAAUAGAUGAGCCUAAGUCGGAUUAGCUAGUUGGUGGGGUAAAGGCCUACCAAGGCGACGAUCUGUAGCGGGUCUGAGAGGAUGAUCCGCCACACUGGGGCUGAGACACGGCCCAGACUCCUACGGGAGGCAGCAGUGGGGAAUAUUGGACAAUGGGGGGAACCCUGAUCCAGCCAUGCCGCGUGUGUGAAGAAGGCCUUAUGGUUGUAAAGCACUUUAAGCGAGGAGGAGGCUCCUAUAGAUAAUACCUAUAGUGAGUGGACGUUACUCGCAGAAUAAGCACCGGCUAACUCUGUGCCAGCAGCCGCGGUAAUACAGAGGGUGCAAGCGUUAAUCGGAUUUACUGGGCGUAAAGCGUACGUAGGCGGCUAAUUAAGUCGGAUGUGAAAUCCCCGAGCUCAACUUGGGAAUUGCAUUCGAUACUGGUUAGCUAGAGUAUGGGAGAGGAUGGUAGAAUUCCAGGUGUAGCGGUGAAAUGCGUAGAGAUCUGGAGGAAUACCGAUGGCGAAGGCAGCCAUCUGGCCUAAUACUGACGCUGAGGUACGAAAGCAUGGGGAGCAAACA